AAGUCGUAACAAGGUAUCCGUAGGUGAACCUGCGGAUGGAUCAUUAACAAAGAUCUCAUCUUAACGUACUGUGAACUGUCUAGAACUGGGAACAGGCUCUUGUGAGGGUCAAAGCUCGCGAGGCCUGCUCCCGCCUUAACGUAAACCCUUAAACUAAAGUCAAGUUGCUUAUGAACUUAAACAACUUUUAGCAAUGGAUCUCUUGGCUCUC
rnacentral:misc_RNA from 1 species